rnacentral:rRNA from 1 species
UACGGAGGGUGCAAGCGUUAUCCGGAUUCACUGGGUUUAAAGGGUGCGUAGGUGGGCAGGUAAGUCAGUGGUGAAAUCCCCGAGCUUAACUUGGGAACUGCCGUUGAUACUAUCUGUCUUGAAUAUCGUGGAGGUAAGCGGAAUAUGUCAUGUAGCGGUGAAAUGCUUAGAGAUGACAUAGAACACCAAUUGCGAAGGCAGCUUGCUACACGAUAAUUGACACUGAGGCACGAAAGCGUGGGGAGCAAACAGGAUUAGAUACCCUGGUAGUCCACGCCCUAAACUAUGGAUACUCGACAUCAGCGAUACACAGUUGGUGUCUGAGCGAAAGCAUUAAGUAUCCCACCUGGGAAGUACGAUCGCAAGAUUGAA